rnacentral:lncRNA from 1 species
AAUUCAACAACAUGAAACUAACUUGAGAACCAUGAUGCAGGGGAAUGUUAUGACGCGUCGAUGGCGCUCUGCGAUCGAUUAGCGCGUCUGGGGAGAAGUAGACAGGAACAGGGCAGAUUGACUGGAAAGUCGGAAAGAGUGCGAUCUCUAAACCUAAACAAAUAAAAUCCUUCAAACACGACAGUUCGAAAGGUUUUACUGUAAUCUGGCCACAAAUGUGUUUUGUGCACGUCCACAUAUCGGAUUAUUGCUUUUUGCAAGAGGGACAACUGGUCAUAGAAGAGUUGAUCUGCAAGACGGAGGAGCGAGUUCUUAAAUGUGUGGGUCCCACCAUCCCAAACAGUUUUACCAAUCGGCACUGUCUACAGCAAGAUAUCAACUGCGUGGUGCCACUGACUGUCCAAAGCUCCAACUGCUUUUCCUUUUUCCAAAGGGGGAUUAAUGUGUGGCCCAUCAAGUGUUUACGUGGCUAGAGCGUGUUUCAGUUGUAUGGCGCUUCAUUGAGUUAUCUACUUGAUGAAGCGUUCAUUGAAUUAAUGAACAGGGAUAUCUAUCAUAUUUGGAGAACCAAGCAUAACAUUGGCCUUACAGAAGAAGUUUUCAUGGCAACGAACGUCAUGUGUUCUUGAAGAUAUGUCAGAAUCCUUCAUGUUGCAGUACUCCCAAUUAUCCAUUUUCUCUGUAUGAUAAAAAUGCAAACACAAUGUUAGUCAAAUUAUAAAAACAGCCCCUGCCUUGCUCUUGUGAUGUGACACAUCGGCUGCCCUGUUUUGCCCCCGCGUGACUCCCUGGCUGUUUUGAUGAGGUGAACUCAGGCCUUCCACCACUCUGUAAAACAGCUCUGUGUGGUACACCCACCUCAACCCCUGGUUUUCUAUGCUUGUGCAUGUACGUUGAUUACAAUGAGCUCGUGACAAGGAGCAUCCCCAAGUGUCAGAGCAGGCACAUCGUGCUGCCUCCAGAACUUUAAGAAGAAGAAAAAGAAAAAGAAAAAAAAGAACAACAACAGACUCUGAGCCACUGAACUGGCGAGGUUCCUCAUUUUGAGGCCAUUUGAGACUGUGGAAGCCUCUAUAAACUACCCCAAGACACCCAAACCUCCUGUCUCCACAGACCUGCAUGCACUCUCUUUAUCAGCCUUUUCUCUUGAUGUAAGGCCAACCUGGAGGAUCACCAAACUACCACUGCAUAUCAUUCACUCUUCCAUCGCCACCUCUCAUCCCUCUCUUGCUGGUCUGACCAGGCCAAGGCCCUCGGCCCUCUACUCAGAGUACAGUGCGUAGGGUGCCGCUUACUGCUCCUGCCUCAAACAUAGCCGUCUGUCAUCCACCACACCACCCUGGACACUGGAAUCUCCCUGAGGCCAGGGACUGCCGUUGUCCUCGGCCGCUAGGUCGCUCACCUCCAGGAGGAGCCUUGAGGAGCACACCGGCACAGCUCGCUGCAGAGACAGGGCCUGGUGCGGAGACAGAG